GUGAAAAUGCCCUCUUACUCCCCACAAAGAGCUAGAGGAGCCGGUAUCAGGCUCAAUAUGCCCAUGACACCUAGCCCAGCCACACCCCCAAGGGUAUUCAGCAGUGAUCAACAUUGAAAACUAGCGAAAGCUAAAUUCAGUUACUAGCUAAAAAAACCGGUCAAUCUCGUGCCAGCCACCGCGGUUAUACGGGCAGGUUUAAAUUGAUAACAUCGGCUCAAAGCGUGGUUAGAUUCUCACUCAAAUAAAGCAAAAAUGAAGCCCGGCUGUGAUAUGCUUUCGCUUUAAAUAACCUCAAUCACGAAAGUAGCUUUACUCUAAUUGAACCCACGAUCGCUAGGACACAAACUGGGAUUAGAUACCCCACUAUGCCUAGCCCUAAACUUUGACACUUCCGCCUGGGAACUACGAGCGUUAGCUUAAAACCCAAAAGACUUGGCGGUGCCCUAUACCACCUAGAGGAGCCUGUUCUAUAAUCGAUAAUCCCCGAUUCACCUCACCACCUCUUGCCAAUACCGCCUGUAUACCUCCGUCGCCAACUGACCCCUCAAGGGUCGUAGUCGGUUAAAUGGCCUUCUUCCAAUAAGUCAGGUCAAGGUGCAGCGAAUGAGGUGGGAAGCAAUGGGCUACAUUUUCUACUAUUAGACUAUACGAAAGAUCACUAUGAAAUCUGAUUGGAAGGUGGAUUUAGCAGUAAAAAGAGACUAGAGUGCUCUUUUUAAGUUGGCUCUAGGGCGCGCACACACCGCCCGUCACCCCC
rnacentral:rRNA from 1 species